rnacentral:rRNA from 1 species
GUGUCAGCAGCCGCGGUAAUACGAAGGGGGCUAGCGUUGUUCGGAAUUACUGGGCGUAAAGCGCGCGUAGGCGGAUGAUUAAGUCAGGGGUGAAAUCCCGGGGCUCAACCUCGGAACUGCCUUUGAUACUGGUCAUCUGGAGUACGGAAGAGGUGAGUGGAAUUCCGAGUGUAGAGGUGAAAUUCGUAGAUAUUCGGAGGAACACCAGAAGCGAAGGCGGCUCACUGGUCCGAUACUGACGCUGAGGCGCGAAAGCGUGGGGAGCAAACAGGAUUAGAUACCCUGGUAGUCC